CUUGCUGAAAGAUUCACCGCAAGGUGAGUAUAUAGGCAUUAGGGAGCGUACCAGGUGAACUGAACCAACUUAGUAACCUGAGGAACAGAAACAAAUUAUGUAUUUCGUUAGUAGCGGCGAGCGAAAGCGAAGAAGCCCAAACUCAAGAACUAUAUCUGUCAUCGUCAUUCUGUGUUACAUGCUGGAGGGCGAGCGUCAUUCCUGGCGGAGCAAACUGCGUAAGCUUUGCGACGACGGAAUGAUGCGAGCAAGUCAGGCAUGUGCAUGGGAUGACGGUGAUAGACUUGGGGGUGCAGGCAACCCACAUCCGCCUCGGGCGGAAAGAAGUCAACAAGCAUUUUCAUAGGGGAACAUUUCUGGAAAGUUAGGCCAUAGAGAGUAAUAGCCUCGUACCCGAAAUGGGAAUGCCUUCUUGGGUUGUUCUAGAGUAGCAUGGGACACGUGAAAUCCUGUGUGAAGCAGGCUCGACCAUGAGCCAAGGCUAAAUACGCAAGAACACCGAUAGUGAACUAGUACCGUGAGGGAAAGGUGAAAAGAACCCCUGUUAGGGGAGUGAAAUAGAAACUGAAACCGUGUACAGACAAGCUGACAAAGGGGAGCCACCGCAAGGUGGGUACCCUAAUGUCGUGCCUAUUGAAGAAUGAGCCAACGAGUUAAUUUUGCGCGCAUGCUUUAGUCGCUUAUAAACGACGCAGGCAAAGGGAAACCGAGUCCUAAGUGGGCGUUGUUCCGCCAUUGGUGGGAUAAAAAGUGCGUUGAAUUAGACCCGAAGCCAGGUGAGCCAACCAUGGGCAGGGUGAGCUCCGUCGAAGGACGGAAGGAGGCCCGAACCGGUGUAUGUUGAAAAAUGCUCGGAUGACCUGUGGUUAGUGGUGAAACGUCAAACGAACCUGGUGAUAGCUGGCUCUCCCCGAAAUAUAUUUAGGUAUAGCCCUGCUGGUCCGCCUUAGGCGGAACGAUCCAACAAGAGGUAGAGAUACUGGAAAGAGUUGGGGCGCGCAAGCGUACCCAUUCUUAUCAAACUCCGAAUGCUUGUUGGUGGUGCAGGAGUCAGCAAUGGGGGGCAAUCUCCUGUUGCAAGAGGGAAACAGCCCAGACCAUCGAAUAAGGUCCCUAAUUUCUGCUAAGUGGGCAAGGUUGUGAAACUGUUAAAACAGCUAGGAGGUUGGCUCAGAAGCAGCCAUCCUUUAAAGAAAGCGUAACAGCUCACUAGUUUAACGGUUUUGCGCCGACAAUUUAACGGGGCUAAGCAGAAAACCGACUUCGUGGUUCCCGCCAAAGGCGGGAAGGUAGGGGAGCUUUGAUGUCUCCCGCAUUUUGCGGGACUAGGCUACGAAGGUGCGUUGUGAGACGUGCUGGAGCGGCAUCAAGUGAGUAUGUUGGCUUGAGUAACGAGACCAGCCUGAAAACGGCUGGCGCCGUAAGUCUAAGGUUUCCUCCGCUAUGUCAGUCAACGGAGGGUUAGCCGGUCCUAAGGUAAGGCCGAAAGGCGUAGUCGAUGGACAGCAGGUUAAUAUUCCUGCGCUAGCGUGGAACCGCUAUUACCAAUGGAGUAACGACGUGAGAUAACUUGAGCUGGUUAAAGAUUCCAGUCCAGAAAGCGAGCCAGUUCCCACAGGCAAAUCCGUGGGGAUGCUAUUACGCGAGCUGGUGGAGAAGCUCUUAACUGGGCUAAUUCAGGUGAGUCAUGCGUCCGAGAAAAACUUCUAGGGAGGUUUCAAGCUAUCCGUACCGCAAUCCGACACAGGUAGACGGGUUGAGUAUACCAAGGCGAUCGAGUGAACUGUGGUUGAGGAACUAGGCAAAUUACAUCCGUAACUUAGGGAAAAGGAUGUCCGCCGCAAGGCGGAGGCACAAAAAUGGUUCAAGCGGCUGUUUAACAAAAACACAGGUCUCUGCUUAACUCGUAAGAGGAGGUAUAGGGGCCGACGCGUGCCCAGUGCCCGUAAGUCAAAACCUAGGGUGAUUUCCUGCCGCAAGGCGGGGAUGAGCUUCGGGUCUAAGCUCGGGUGAACGGCGGUCUUAACUAUAAGGAUCCUAUGGUAAAGUAACGCGCUGCCAUAGUAAAAUUUGGCUAUAUGCUGGAAACUCCGUUCUCUAGAAAUACUAGAGAGAAGUAUCUUGUACUACUAAACAUAGUCAACUAUCGUUUGACUAUGCACAGUGAAAAAGUAUCAAGUGCGGACAAUCAGCAGGAAAGACUAAGGAUUGAGGGGUGGUUAGUCGGUUUUACUGACGGAGAAGGUGCUUUUACAGUAAGCAUUAUUAAGAACCACACAAGUAAAAUCGGUUGGCAAGUGUUUCCGGAAUUCAUAGUUACCCAAGGUGCAAAAAGCAAGGAUGUUUUGUUCCUAUUCCAAGAGUACUUCAAAUGCGGGCAUGUUUAUCUUAAUAGAAGGUUUGAUAAUCACAAUGAGAAUAUCUACAGGUAUUGUGUUAGAUCAUUAAAGGACUUAAGAUCAGCGAUUAUCCCUUUCUAUGCUAACAACCCGUUGAAAACCCACAAGGCAGAAGAUUUCAAACUCUUUUGUCUUAUCAUGGAUAUGAUUUCCGUGGGCGAUCACUUGAGUAUUCAAGGUAUAAGAGACAUUGCACACAUUGCGAUGGGUAUGAACCGGAAAGCUAAACCCAAAUUCUUAGAAUCCUCACAGACUAUACGCCAAACCCCGCCAACGGCGGGGAAGAUAUAGUCGCAUCUGCAUGGCGACAUGCAGGGGUUAGUUAAAUCUAACUCAUAGUCUGCUUAAGGCAGAUGAAGUAGAAACGAGCGUAAUCCCUUGUCGGGUAAGUUCCGACCCGCACGAAACGCGUAACGACUUGAACACUCUCUUAACCACAGGCUCGGUGAAAUAGAACUACCGGUGAAGAUGCCGGUUACUUGCUGUUGGACAAAAAGACCCCGUGGAGCUUUACUGCAACCUGACAUUGGUAAGUUGUUUUAAUUGUGUAGCGUAGGAGGGAGAUUUCCCCGCGAAAGUUGGGAGAUCAACGAUGAAACACCUCUCUGUUAAAGCGAUAAGCCUAACUAU
rnacentral:rRNA from 1 species